UACGAAGGGGGCUAGCGUUGCUCGGAAUCACUGGGCGUAAAGCGCACGUAGGCGGCUUUUUAAGUCAGGGGUGAAAUCCUGGAGCUCAACUCCAGAACUGUCCUUUGAUACUGAGAAGCUUGAGUCCGGGAGAGGUGAGUGGAACUGCGAGUGUAGAGGUGAAAUUCGUAGAUAUUCGCAAGAACACCAGUGGCGAAGGCGGCUCACUGGCCCGGUACUGACGCUGAGGUGCGAAAGCGUGGGAGCA
rnacentral:rRNA from 1 species